UACGGGAGGCAGCAGUGGGGAAUAUUGCACAAUGGGCGCAAGCCUGAUGCAGCCAUGCCGCGUGUAUGAAGAAGGCCUUCGGGUUGUAAAGUACUUUCAGCGGGGAGGAAGGGAGUAAAGUUAAUACCUUUGCUCAUUGACGUUACCCGCAGAAGAAGCACCGGCUAACUCCGUGCCAGCAGCCGCGGUAAUACGGAGGGUGCAAGCGUUAAUCGGAAUUACUGGGCGUAAAGCGCACGCAGGCGGUUUUGUUAAGUCAGAUGUGAAAUCCCCGGGCUCAACCUGGGAACUGCAUCUGAUACUGGCAAGCUUGAGUCUCGUAGAGGGGGUAGAAUUCCAGGUGUAGCGGUGAAAUGCGUAGAGAUCUGGAGGAAUACCGGUGGCGAAGGCGGGCCCCUGGACGAGACUGACGCUCAGGUGCGAAAGCGUGGGGAGCGAAACAGGGAUUAGGAUAACC
rnacentral:rRNA from 1 species